AAUGCAUCUAUGGGGGAGGGGCGGGAGGGAGGGCAGAACCUCUGCAGAACAAACGCUUAGUUUUAACAUCAUUAUUUCGACAGAUGUUGGUUCUAGUCCAAAGUAUCUAGACACAGACCAUGCUGUGACUAAUUAAUGUCACUAUGCCCAAGAGAGUCUGGCCUACUUAGUCGCUUAAAGAGUACUUAGCAUUAACGACUUACUGAGUUAGCAGAGAAAUGAAGAUACAGAUUCUCCCAUCAGAAGACACAGGGAAGCUGCAGCAUUGUCCAGUGGAAAAUGCUUUGGGCCAGAAUCUAACUGCCUUAACCCUGGUCUCAGUCCAGCUCCUGAUCCGCUCUGGGAAGUGUCCAGGAGAAUUGUCACAGCUAAUCCCCAGAGCACCUUCCUCACAGUGAAAAUAAUGGCAUCCACGAGCCUUAAGAUAUAGGCAAUGUUUUCUGUGGUCCUCAACACAUUAGGUGGUACCAACCAACAUUGGCGAGAGUGUGUCUUCUUCACUCAGUCUACUGAUGGAAAUUCUGAUCUCUUCGGGAAAUAACCUCACAGACAUGCGCAGCAAUAAUGCUUUACCUGCCUGGCUACCCGGGCAGCUCUUAGCCCAGUCAAGUUGAUACAGUAGAAGUAACCACCACACAGGGUCUUAUUCUAUCAUCCGGACUGGAGUGCAAUGGCAAGAUCAUGGGUCUCUAUUGCCUUGACCUCCCAGAAUCAGGUAAUCGGCUCACCUAGCCUGCCAAGGAGCUAAGACUACAGGUAUGUGCCGCCAUGCGCAGCUAAUUGAAGUAGUUAUUAUCUUUAGUACAAACCCGAUUGUGACAUAGCUGGCCAGUGUUAUACCGUCAGCUCUGAUGUUCUAGAGUUAUAAAAAGUUAAGUGCUUCAGUCAACCUUCCAUGGACCUGACUUCUAGGGACCAGUGGAAACUGACCACUAGCCUCUUCUUGUGGCACACUGAGCACCAAAGGAAAGAGAAGAGGCCAGAAGGUCAAUAGACAGAAGAGUCCAUGUUUGUCUCACUGAAAAGUUUUCUCUGGAAUUCUGCACUUCCAACCUAGAGCAAAAGACAGAGUAUUCCCCCUGGGAUCUGCUAGUCCAUAGCCUUCUAGGAUGUCUGAGUUGGAAGGGACCCAAGAGAGCAUUCGUUUCAAAAUUCCCAUUUUAGAAAUGAGUACACUGAGGCCCAA